rnacentral:rRNA from 1 species
AACUUAAAGGAAGUGGACGGGGGCCCGCACAAGCGGUGGAGCAUGUGGUUUAAUUCGAUGAUACGCGAGGAACCUUACCUGGGCUCAAAUGUAUGUUGACGUAUUCUGAAAGGGAUACUUCUUCGGACAAUAUACAAGGUGCUGCAUGGUUGUCGUCAGCUCGUGCCGUGAGGUGUCGGGUUAAGUCCCGCAACGAGCGCAACCCUUGCCUUUAGUUGCCAGCAGUUCGGCUGGGCACUCUAAAGGGACUGCCGGUGUUAAACCGGAGGAAGGUGGGGAUGACGUCAAGUCCUCAUGGCCUUUAUGACCAGGGCUACACACGUACUACAAUGGCCGGCACAACGGGAAGCGAGUUCGCGAGGACGAGCGGAUCCCUCAAAGCCGGUCGCAGUUCGGAUUGAAGUCUGCAACUCGACUUCAUGAAGCUGGAAUCGCUAGUAAUCGUGGAUCAGCCAAGCCGCGGUGAAUACGUUCCCGGGCCUU